GUGCCUGCGUUGGCAACACAUAUAGGAAAAUUAGAAUGAUACAGAGGUUAGCAUGGCCCCUGCGCAAGGAUAACAUGCAAAUUCAUGAAGGGUUCCACAUUUUU